ACACACACAAUUUCAUGCUUGUGAAGUCGCAAGAUGGCUGCCAUGCCUUUUCUCUGAGUUCUUGGCUGCUUACAAUCUAUUAAAAAUCUACUUAAUCGCAUUAAGGACUAUUAAAUAAAGUUUGAGAUUUGCUUAAUAUAUGUACUUUGAUCACAUACAGUGGAUUUUGAGAGCAUCGAGUUGUAUAGAACUUUGUAAUUUGCAACAGUUUGUACCACGCUUUGGAGGCCUUGUUAGGCCUGAAGAGUUAUCCUCACAUUAACAUCUAACUUGGUACAUCGUGGUAAGAGUGAGUAAUCAUGCCUUCUGAAUCUAAAGCAAUGUCUGAUGAUGAUGCUGUUGUGACCAUGAGUAAACUGACCCAGUUACUGGAUCAGCAGAAAGAAUUCUACAAGGACAUGCUACAACAGCAACAAGAAAACUUUAAGAGUUUCAUUCAAAUAAUCAUGGAUGGAAACACAAAAAGGUUGGAUGGUGUUAUCAGAGAUGUCCAGGAGUUGAAAACAAGUCUACAAUUCACUCAAGGCAUCAUGGAAGAUAUGAAAAAAGGAUAUAUAGACAUUGAUGUAAAAAUCAAAUCAUUUGAAAUCAGUAUUGCAAAGUCAAGGCAGGAAAUGGAUGAGUUAUUUAAUAAGUUGGACUACAUUGAUAAUCAGUCCAGGAGAUCCAAUCUUCUAAUUGAUGGGAUUGCAGAAGAAAAAGGAGAAACUGCAAGUGGUCUAGAAAUCAAGAUUCAACAAGUGCUAUCUGAGAAUUUGGGUCUCGAUGGUACAAACAUUGAGAUUGAGCGAGCACAUCGGAUGGGUCAGUUCCAGGAAGGAAGAAAGCAGAGGAAAAUUGUUGACUUUUCAGAUGUGGUGCAGCAAAGGAGAAGGGAAUUGCAGCCAGAGACGAAGGUGAAAGAGCCAGUCUAAGCAGAAACCGUGGAGCAGCUGAGCUGUGAGUGAUGUCAUCAUGUUAUGUCACAAGACAGAUCUGAGAACAGUGAAGGCACAAAACAUACACCUGGGUCCAGAAAACACACACUGGUGGAAAAAACAGGAACUUUAUGAGGUGGAGAGCGUCGGGGAAAUCAGGAUGAAGUCUUCAUGUAAGAUAAGGAAAAGAAACAGAAGGACGGUGUUUGUUAGCAGUAGUUUGUGGAGUUGAUAGAAUGUUCUUUGUGAGCAUUUAUUAACAUGUACACAGUGCUGACUACAAUAAACCUCAUCUCUGCUUUCA